UGGGGAAUAUUGGACAAUGGGCGCAAGCCUGAUCCAGCCAUGCCGCGUGAGUGAUGAAGGCCCUAGGGUUGUAAAGCCCUUUCACCGGUGAAGAUAAUGACGGUAACCGGCGAAGAAGCCCCGGCUAACUUCGUGCCAGCAGCCGCGGUAAUACGAAGGGGGCUAGCGUUGUUCGGAUUUACUGGGCGUAAAGCGCACGUAGGCGGACUUUUAAGUCAGGGGUGAAAUCCCGGGGCUCAACCCCGGAACUGCCUUUGAUACUGGAAGUCUGGAGUAUGGUAGAGGUGAGUGGAAGUCCGAGUGUAGAGGUGAAAUUCGUAGAUAUUCGGAGGAACACCAGUGGCGAAGGCGGCUCACUGGAACAUUACUGACGCUGAGGUGCGAAAGCGUGGGGAGCAAACAGG
rnacentral:rRNA from 1 species